GCGUUGUUCGGAUUCAUUUGGCGUAAAGGGCUCGUAGGCGGUCCAUCGCGUCGGGAGUGAAAAGCUGGGGCUUCACCCCAGUCCUGCUUCCGAUACGGGUGGACUAGAGGUAGGUAGGGGAGAUCGGAUUUCCUAGUGUAGCGGUGAAAUGCGCAGAUAUUAGGAGGAACACCGGUGGCGAAGGCGGAUCUAUGGGCCUUACAUGACGCUGAGGAGCGAAAGCAUG
rnacentral:rRNA from 1 species